GCCUUCGUCAUGUAGUGGUCAGCACGCUCCGUGCAUGUUCGAGAGGUCCGAGGUUCGAGUCCCGGCGAGGGCA
rnacentral:tRNA from 1 species